rnacentral:tRNA from 1 species
GGACCCGUAGCUUAGUUGAAUAGAGCGCCAGAUUCCGGUUCUGGAGGUCAUGGGUUUGAGUCCCAUCGGGUUCA